rnacentral:rRNA from 1 species
GACGAACGCUGGCGGCGUGCUUAACACAUGCAAGUCGAGCGAUGAAGCACCUUCGGGUGUGAAUUAGCGGCGAACGGGUGAGGAACACGUGAAGAAUCUGCCUUCAACUCUGGGAUAACUCCGGGAAACCGGGGCUAAUACCGGAUAUGAGCCUUGAUCGCAUGAUCGGGGCUGGAAAGUUUUUCGGUUGAAGAUGACUUCGCGGCCUAUCAGCUUGUUGGUGAGGUAAUGGCUCACCAAGGCGACGACGGGUAGCCGGCCUGAGAGGGCGACCGGCCACACUGGGGCUGAGACACGGCCCAGACUCCUACGGGAGGCAGCAGUGGGGAAUAUUGGGCAAUGGAGGAAACUCUGACCCAGCGACGCCGCGUGAGGGAUGAAGGCCUUCGGGUUGUAAACCUCUUUCAGUAGGGAAGAAGCGAAAGUGACGGUACCUACAGAAGAAGCACCGGCUAACUAUGUGCCAGCAGCCGCCGUAA